CGGGAGGGGGUCCGGCUGGAAAACCUCAGCCCUGCAAGUGUGACAUCACCGCGGGCCGGUGUGACACCCCCCGAGAGUGGGCCGCGCGCGGGGAGGCGGGGCGCCCCGGGCAGCCCCCCUGCUGGGGAGGAGGUCCCUCCGCUGGGGCUUCCCGGUUUCGUGGCCGCCUACGGGCGUUCAAUUGGCGCCGGGUUCGGUGCACGGAGCGCCCGCAGGGGGCUCCCCGUGGCCGCCGGGGACCUGUGCGUGCACUGGGAGGUGAGGAGGCAGAGCUGUGCUCGGACCAACCCCUCCAGACCGGCGGCGAGCGGAAGCUGUGCCCUCAUUUUCUUGCCUCCACCCGGAGCGCCAGGCUGGGUAUCGGGGAGACGGAAGGCGUGGGGCACCCACCGCGCGGAGGAAACGGGCUGCGUGAGAACUGGCUGCCCCGGUGCCAGGACCGACGCCAUCUCCCGGGGCCUGAGCUUCCGCGGGACUGACUGCACCGCCCACAGUGCUAGAGGCUGCAUGGUCUGAGCCCUGGAAAGGGGCUGCCCAGCACCCUGGGCACCUGCGCAGACUCCCCGAGAGAUUCUGCCGGCAGCCUCUCUUCCUCGGUCUCACUUAUGCAUCCCUGGCCUCCUGGGAUCCCCAUCUGCCCACACCAAAAAAGAUCAUUUUUGUGACGAUGUGC